CUACGGGGCGCAGCAGUGGGGAAUAUUGGACAAUGGGCGCAAGCCUGAUCCAGCAAUGCCGCGUGAGUGAAGACGGCCUUAGGGUUGUAAAACUCUUUCGCUAGGGAAGAUAAUGACUGUACCUAGUAAAGAAGUCCCGGCUAACUCCGUGCCAGCAGCCGCGGUAAUACGGAGGGGACUAGCGUUGUUCGGAAUUACUGGGCGUAAAGAGUUCGUAGGCGGACUGACAAGUUAGAGGUGAAAUCCCAGGGCUCAACCCUGGAACUGCCUUUAAAACUGUCAGUCUAGAGACCGGAAGAGGUUAGGGGAAUACCUAGUGUAGAUGUGAAAUUCGUAGAUAUUAGGUGGAACACCAGUGGCGAAGGCGCCUAACUGGUCCGGUACUGACGCUGAGGAACGAAAGCGUGGGGAGCAAACAGGAUUAGAUACCCCGGUAGUC
rnacentral:rRNA from 1 species